rnacentral:rRNA from 1 species
CAGUAGCCGCGGUAAUACGAAGGGUGCAAGCGUUAAUCGGAAUUACUGGGCGUAAAGCGUGCGUAGGCGGUGAGUUAAGUCUGCUGUGAAAUCCCCGGGCUCAACCUGGGAAUGGCAGUGGAUACUGGCUCGCUAGAGUGUGUCAGAGGAUGGUGGAAUUCCCGGUGUAGCGGUGAAAUGCGUAGAUAUGCGGAGGAACACCGAUGGCGAAGGCAGCCCCCUGGGCCAACACUGACGCUCAUGCACGAAAGCGUGGGGAGCAAACAGGAUUAGAUACCCGCGUAGUCCCUGUCUCUUAUAA